rnacentral:rRNA from 1 species
UACGUAGGGUGCGAGCGUUAACCGGAAUUACUGGGCGUAAAGCGUGCGCAGGCGGUCUGUUAAGACAGGUGUGAAAUCCCCGGGCUCAACCUGGGAACUGCAUUUGUGACUGCACAGCUUGAGUGCGGCAGAGGGGGAUGGAAUUCCGCGUGUAGCAGUGAAAUGCGUAGAUAUGCGGAGGAACACCGAUGGCGAAGGCGAUCCCCUGGGCCUGCACUGACGCUCAUGCACGAAAGCGUGGGGAGCAAACAGG